rnacentral:rRNA from 1 species
GUGGAUUAGAUACCCUAGUAGUCCUGGCAGUAAACGGUGCACGUUUGGUGUGGGAGGAUUCGACCCCUUCCGUGCCGGAGCUAACGCGUUAAACGUGCCGCCUGGGGAGUACGGUCGCAAGAUUAAAACUCAAAGAAAUUGACGGGGGCCCGCACAAGCGGUGGAGUAUGUGGCUUAAUUCGAUGCAACGCGAAGAACCUUACCUAGCCUUGACAUGCAUCUCUAAGUCGGUGAAAGCCGGCGAGUGUAGCAAUACACAAUUUGCACAGGUGCUGCACGGCCGUCGCCAACU